AAACCUCGGGUUGCAGUCUGAGUAAUCAGACUGAUGGCUGGUGACUUUUUGGUCACCAGCCU
rfam:Pantoea wallisii strain LMG 26277 Contig0068_, whole genome shotgun sequence.